rnacentral:rRNA from 1 species
UACAGAGGGGGCAAGCGUUGUUCGGAAUUACUGGGCGUAAAGGGCGCGUAGGCGGCCAACUAAGUCGGACGUGAAAUCCCCAGGCUCAACCUGGGAACUGCGUCCGAUACUGGAUGGCUCGAAUCCGGGAGAGGGAUGUGGAAUUCCAGGUGUAGCGGUGAAACGCGUAGAUAUCUGGAGGAACACCGGUGGCGAAGGCGGCAUCCUGGACCGGUAUUGACGCUGAGGCGCGAAAGCCAGGGGAGCAAACGGG